UACAGAAGCCUCAAGCGUUACCCGGAUUUAUUGGGCGUAAAGGAUGCGUAGGCGGUUAUAUUAGUCUUGUGUUAAAAUUUCGGGCUCAACCCGGAGGUCGCACAGGAAACGGUAUAACUAGAAGAAGUGAAAGGUGAACAGAACUCUCGGAGUAGGGGUGAAAUCCGUUGAUAUCGAGGGGAAUACCAAAUGCGAAGGCAGUUCACUGGCACUUUCUUGACGCUGAGGCAUGAAAGCGUGGGUAGCGAAUCGG
rnacentral:rRNA from 1 species